rnacentral:lncRNA from 10 species
GACAGAACUCAGAGCUGCAAGAGAAAGAAGACUGAAUUCAGUCUCUCUUGCAGAAAAAUUGUUUUCCGUCAAGUUGAUAAUAAUGAUCACACUGAGAAUGAAUGACUCAAGAUGAAUAUCCAAAGAUAUAUCAAAACCUGGUCAGCAGUCGUGGGGAAAGGAAGAAAGCCUGAGUUGAGUUUAUGAAAGUUUUCCACUAAAGUCAGCAACAGCUUAAAUUCAAACCAGGCACAAGACGCUUGAAUCUCCAUAUGAGUUGUUCAUCAAAGGGCUGAAAGAAAAGAAAUCUGAGCCCGAGCACGGUCUGGCCUAAAAGC